UGAUAAAUCAAUAUGAUGAAUGUGUAUCAAUUGAUGAUUCUCUCCUUCUAAUACACGGCUAAACAGCCCUUUAAAUACAAAUACAAUGGAGACAAAUCCCACUCUUGUAGGAUUUAUAUUUAACUUAGAAUUCUAAUAUUAUCCUAACUAGUAGGAUUUAUAUUUAACUUAGGAUUCUAACAUUAUCUCUAAUGUUAUCUUCAAUACCCCCCCUCAAGUUGGAGCAUGCGGAUUACAAAUGCCCAACUUGCGAAGUAAAAAUUCAAACUUGUCUCUUCCCAAGGCCUUAGUGAAUAUAUCCGCUAGUUGUACCGNNN
rnacentral:lncRNA from 1 species